rnacentral:rRNA from 1 species
ACGAACGCUGGCGGCAUGCCUAACACAUGCAAGUCGAACGAGACCUUCGGGUCUAGUGGCGCACGGGUGCGUAACGCGUGGGAACCUGCCCUUAGGUUCGGAAUAACUCCCCGAAAGGGGUGCUAAUACCGGAUAAUGUCUUCGGACCAAAGAUUUAUCGCCUUUGGAUGGGCCCGCGUUGGAUUAGCUAGUUGGUAGGGUAAAAGCCUACCAAGGCGACGAUCCAUAGCUGGUCUGAGAGGAUGAUCAGCCACACUGGGACUGAGACACGGCCCAGACUCCUACGGGAGGCAGCAGUGGGGAAUAUUGGACAAUGGGCGAAAGCCUGAUCCAGCAAUGCCGCGUGAGUGAUGAGGGCCUUAGGGUUGUAAAGCUCUUUUACCCGGGAUGAUAAUGACAGUACCGAGAGAAUAAGCUCCGGCUAACUCCGUG